rnacentral:rRNA from 1 species
UACGAAGGGGGCUAGCGUUGUUCGGAAUCACUGGGCGUAAAGCGCACGUAGGCGGAUUGUUAAGUCGGGGGUGAAAUCCUGAGGCUCAACCUCAGAACUGCCUCCGAUACUGGCAAUCUCGAGUUCGGAAGAGGUUGGUGGAACAGCUAGUGUAGAGGUGAAACUCGUAGAUAUUAGCUAGAACACCAGUGGCGAAGGCGGCCAACUGGUCCGACACUGACGCUGAGGUGCGAAAGCGUGGGGAGCAAACAGG